rnacentral:tRNA from 1 species
UGUGAAGUGCCUGAAAAAAGGAUUAUCUUGAUAGGAUACCUCAUGUGCCCACCCACCUUCACAU